AGCACUUAUACGUCCCAUAAUGUAAAAAGUGAGAUUUUCAUGUCUUUUAUAUUAUAAAGCAGGUUUAAGAGUCUGUCUAGGGCUUUUAUUGUGAAAGGUACGAACUAACGGCCGUUGUGAACGUGGGGGGUAUAAGCGUAUUUUCAAAAAUUAAUAAAUACAAAGUACUUUGUGGCCGUUUGUGUUGUGAUGCUGCUCUGCUCACGUUAAAUGCAUAUUGUUCGCGCUGCCCUCUCGAUGUGCCCUCUCUUUCCUCUCGUCUGUCUGCCAUUUUUUCCUUCAGCGCAAUGCAUGAUGGUGUAUAGUGCUCAGUGAGUAACUUUUUACGAUAUAAUAGUGAUGCUCACCAUAUAGUUAUAAUAAUUCUCACUAUACAUUCGGACAGCACAACAAAAUGGCGAACUCACUAUAUAGUUUACUAUACAGUGAUUUCGGACAAAGACUAUGUGAAUGACAUCAGCUGACAGGAAGUAAACAUGGACCCAAUCUGUUGCCUAGCAAUUCCAUUGCAAUUCCGUUGAAGCGUUUCAUACGAAGGGUAAAUACAGACAUAUUCAGGCAGACAGUAUGAGGUAUGAGGACAGUAUGAAAAUAAAGGGAUUUUUUAACAUUAUAGCAUGUAAACAUGUUCUAGUAGAAAAAAAAAAUAGGUUUAUAAUAUAUUAUAAUAAGUAUGAACUUAAUAUGGGACCUUUAAAUGACAACCAAAAUUACAUACUUUCUACUUACCUGUAGUGCUAUUUAGCAAUUUAGAUUGUUUUGAUGUGAGUUACCAGCUGUAGAGAUGUCUGCCUUCUCUAGAACAUAAUGGUACUAGAUGGCACUCGGCUUGUGGUGCUCAAAGCGUUAGUCAAACUAAUCCACAGACCUUGUUGUGAGCAGUUUCAGGCACGCAGGGUACCUUGCCCAGUCGGACGCCCAUCUGGAUGUCUCUGAACUGCAGACCCAGGUUCUCCCCCAGGAUGGUCACCCUGGUUCCCCCUUGGCGAGGCCCCGUCUCAGGGAACAACUGGACCGACAAGAGGAUGGAGGACGGGGGUCAGGAUGGAUGGAGGAAGGAGGAGAGAAGGAGACAGAAGAACAGAAGAAAAGAGACAUAAGAGCAGGGAGAUGUAAAGGUGGGCUGGCCCCUUGCCGGGCCCAUCGUCUGGUGCGCCGCGACAGAGGUCUGCUUGGAGAGGCCCGACCGUGAGUUUCACGUCACCCCUCGCCCGGACCUCGCUGUUGCCCGGAGUUGUUGAGUUCUCUCUGCGCAGUGCACCCUCUCUCCCUGCGGGGGAGGGAUUCCCGGCGCGACUGUCAACCGGGAAGGAGUGUCCUCAGUGCGAAGGGUUUGCGGCGAAUGUCGGCACGCCGUCUGGUUACCAUGCUUAUGCUGUGUGACUUUUUGACAUCAGCAUUCUUAACCAUAAAUAAAGCCUUUCUGAAUAAACUGUUUACCAGGGCACCAAGUUCUUCAUAGAUCUAGCCUCGUAAUUUUGCUCUCAAAGUGCUCCAGAUUGAUGCAUUUAACUUUAAUAUGUAGGGCUGUCCUGAAUACCAUUUUUGGGGCUUCAAAGCGUCGGUGAGAAAUAUUUAAAGGCAUUCGAAGCUGGUGCGGCGCAACAGGCUGACACGUUCUUCUAUCUGUCUCCGUCUCCCCCGUUUCAGUGUCCAGGACAGUGGCGCUGUCGCACUACUGUACACACACAAACCUCUACACACAACAAACAGCAAGAAAGACUAAUAAUAAUUAAUGUUGAAUAUGAAUAAUGAAUGAACAACGGAUGAAGCUUCAAAGCAUUCGGGUCAGCCCUUUUAAUAUGUUCAAAAUGUUCUUCACUGUGUCUCAAAAUCCUACGGGUAACACUGUAU